GUUACACUGAGAGGACAAGGAAGGGCGGCCAGGAUACACUGGGGGCCGGGGCUGCAACUGACCAGGCAGGCCUGGUGAAGGAGGUGGAAGGGGACAGAAGCAAGAGUCACAAGUGAAAUGUUUACUGAGCUGUGAGGCCCACAGAGGACACGGGACAGAAAGUGGGGCUUCAUAUAUUGUGCCCACACCAUGGACAUUCACAGAAUGGCUGAGGAAAGCAUUCUUUUCUAUGCCUCUCAGUUACCUGGUCAACCAUCCAACCAUCCGAAAGGCUAAGGCUAAGGCCUACAGAUGUUGAAGCUGGAGAGGACUUGGAAGGACAAGGACCACAGGACAGCUAAAUGGUUAGCAGUGAUUGGACCUGAUGAGACCCAAGUUUCUUCUCAAAUUAUUCCAGCAGCAGCAGCUUAUUAGCAAGCCAGUCAUGUGCAGUUCUACCUCGCUUCCUUAGUGACCUGGUUUCCAGAGAUGUAAUAAAAUUCAUUUUACUACAACUAAUCAUCAAAAUAAAACAUUUAGUGAUUAAGUACAAAAGAAAACUUGCAGGGGGCUAGAGAG